rnacentral:rRNA from 1 species
AUUGAACGCUGGCGGCAGGCCUAACACAUGCAAGUCGAACGGUAACAGGAAGCAGCUUGCUGCUUUGCUGACGAGUGGCGGACGGGUGAGUAAUGUCUGGGAAACUGCCCGAUGGAGGGGGAUAACUACUGGAAACGGUAGCUAAUACCGCAUAACGUCGCAAGACCAAAGAGGGGGACCUUAGGGCCUCUUGCCAUCGGAUGUGCCCAGAUGGGAUUAGCUAGUAGGUGGGGUAACGGCUCACCUAGGCGACGAUCCCUAGCUGGUCUGAGAGGAUGACUCGCCAGACGGUAUGUGAGGCUCAGUACCGACUCCGGCAGUAGGCAGCGGUGGAGAAUCUUGCACGAUGGGGGAGUGGCGAAUGCUGGCAUGCCGGGGGUAGGAUGAAGCACCACGGGCGCGUAAGUGCUGUCAGCGUGAGGGUUGGAAGUAAAUUUUACACCGGAGCACAUUGACGUUACCCGCAGAAUAAGCACCGGCUAACUCCGUG